GACGAACGCUGGCGGCGUGCCUAAUACAUGCAAGUAGAACGCACAGUUCAUACCGUCGCUUGCUACACCAGAGACUGUGAGUUGCGAACGGGUUAGUUACGCUUAGGUUACCUGCCUGGUAGCUUGGGAUAACUAUUGGAAACGAUAGCUAAGACCGCAUAAUAUUUGUUGUGGCAUGAAAAUUAAUGGAAAGUGGCAAUGGCACCACGACCAAUUGGACCUUCGUUGGAGUAGCUAGUAGGUGAGGUAACGGCGCACCUAGGCGAGGAUACGUAGCCGACCGGCGAGGGUGAUCAGCCACCCUGGGAGUGAGACCCGGCCCAGACUGCCUCGGGAGGCAGCCGUAGUGAAUCUUCGGCCAUCGACGAAAGUCUGACCGCGCUACGCCGCGUGAGUGAAGAAGGUUUUCGGAUCGUAAAGCUCUGUUGUAAGGGAAGAACGGGUGUGAGAGUGGAAAGUUCACACUGUGACGGUAUUUUACCAGAAAGCGCCGGCUAACUACGUG
rnacentral:rRNA from 1 species